UACGUAGGGUGCGAGCGUUAAUCGGAAUUACUGGGCGUAAAGCGUGCGCAGGCGGUUUUGUAAGUCAGAUGUGAAAUCCCCGGGCUCAACCUGGGAACUGCGUUUGAAACUACAAGGCUAGAGUGUAGCAGAGGGGGGUGGAAUUCCACGUGUAGCAGUGAAAUGCGUAGAGAUGUGGAGGAACACCGAUGGCGAAGGCAGCCCCCUGGGUUAACACUGACGCUCAGGCACGAAAGCGUGGGGAGCAAACAGG
rnacentral:rRNA from 1 species